rnacentral:rRNA from 1 species
ACGGGAGGCAGCAGCUAAGAAUAUUCCGCAAUGGAGGAAAGUCUGACGGAGCGACGCCGCGUGGAUGAAGAAGGCCGGAAGGUUGUAAAAUCCUUUUAAGCAUGAAGAAUAAGCGGGAGCAGGGAAAGCUUCCGUGGUGACGGUAGUGCUUGAAUAAGCAACGGCUAAUUACGUGCCAGCAGCCGCGGUAACACGUAAGUUGCGAGCGUUGUUCGGAAUUAUUGGGCGUAAAGGGCAUGUAGGCGGUUUUGCAAGCUUGGUGUGAAAUUCCGGAGCUCAACUCCGGAACUGCGUUGAGAACUGCAUAACUAGAGUCACUGAGGGGCAAUCAGAAUUCCUGGUGUAGGGGUGAAAUCUGUAGAUAUCAGGAAGAAUACCAAUGGCGAAGGCAGGUUACCAGCAGAUGACUGACGCUGAGGUGCGAAGGUGCGGGGAGCAAACAGGAUUAGAUACCCUGGUA